GAUGAACGCUGGCGGCGUGCCUAAUACAUGCAAGUCGAGCGAACAGAUGAGGAGCUUGCUCCUCUGACGUUAGCGGCGGACGGGUGAGUAACACGUGGAUAACCUACCUAUAAGACUGGGAUAACUACGGGAAACCGGAGCUAAUACCGGAUAAUAUAUUGAACCGCAUGGUUCAAUAGUGAAAGACGGUUUUGCUGUCACUUAUAGAUGGAUCCGCGCCGCAUUAGCUAGUUGGUAAGGUAACGGCUUACCAAGGCAACGAUGCGUAGCCGACCUGAGAGGGUGAUCGGCCACACUGGAACUGAGACACGGUCCAGACUCCUACGGGAGGCAGCAGUAGGGAAUCUUCCGCAAAGGGCGAAAGCCUGACGGAGCAACGCCGCGUGAGUGAUGAAGGUCUUCGGAUCGUAAAACUCUGUUAUUAGGGAAGAACAAAUGUGUAAGUAACUAUGCACGUCUUGACGGUACCUAAUCAGAAAGCCACGGCUAACUACGCG
rnacentral:rRNA from 1 species